rnacentral:ncRNA from 2 species
AGCCUCUGGAGAGUCUCAUUAUGGGCACCGAAGGAGCAAGCCAGCGUGUAGCUGGUGAACCUCUCAGGUACAAGGGACAGAGUGUAGCAG